CUUAGUGCAGUGUACUCCGAGCAGUACUCAGUGCUCUGUUUUGAGGAUUACUUACAGACUACACAGUGCUGUGACCUAGAUGUUCCAAGAAUAAGAGCAUGCAGUUGAGCUUUCAAGAUAAGAAGAGAAAUAUGGUAUUGAUUUGCCUAGUAAAAGGGACACCCUCAAACACGCGGAAUCCAUCUCUGCUUGUCACUCAGUGCUGCUCUGCCUUUUGGACAAGGCUGCUUGUAUGUGUGAAGUUAUUCAGCAAAAACAUAUUGCCAAGCCUGAAGAUUAGAGCCAGCUUCAGAAAGCCAUUUAACAAAGAGCUGGAAAGAAGCAGCAUCUCUACAUGGACUUAUCAGGAAGCUUAUGCAUCAGAUACUCAAUGCAAGUGCUAAGCAAGGAGGCAGUGUUGACUGAACAGCCACAGUAAGCACUGUAGGGAAAAACCUGCAGCUGAGGCUGGAUACUUUGUUCUGGUAUCUGAGUUCAAGGAGUGGAUACACUGAAAGAACAUCAGAGAAAAUUACUCAGGUUUCCAGCUGAAAUAUUGCUCAGAAGAUGGAAUGUCACUACAAAUCCUGGUCUCUAAUCAGCGCUCUUUUUUCUCUCUCACUUGAAUAAUUUAGUUACUAAGAAAUUAAGUUUAAUUUAACAUGCAGUUUGCCUAAAAUCCUCCUUGCUUUAUUUUCUUUCUUAAGAUAGAUAUGUGCAGAGGCUGAGGGCAUUGGGUUGCAUAUCCAAGUAUAAUAUGAGGUACCCUAAUCAAACUUACUGAUAUGAUGAUCCGUGCUAGUAACUGACAUUUCAAACUUUCAGAACAUCUUAAAACUUUCUCUGCUAUCUGCAGUUUCCUGCAGAAAGAAAAAGCCAAGGGUUCCAACUCACCAUUAGGUGGUGCCCCUGUCAUUCAUUUAAAAAAUAAAAAAUAAUUAUAAAAACUGCAAUAGAAUCUACUAUCCUUAUCUUCAUUGUGCAUGCCUGCUGAGGGUAAAGCUGUGCUAUUUGAGUGGAAUGAGGGGACAAAACAAGUGUCAUUUCCUUUUUAGGAAGUGAGAUCCCAUCAUGUGCAGACUUGAGGAAGCCAGCAUUGCAAAUUGGUGCUUUCUCCACUUAGCACUGGAGCUGUGAGAAUGCAUUUGUGUCCCUUGAACCUUCUUGGCCAGCAGGUCCGGGGGCUUUUGCACUGGUUUUGUG
rnacentral:lncRNA from 1 species